GACGAACGCUGGCGGCGUGCUUAACACAUGCCAGUCGAACGGUGAAGCGCUUGCCUUUUUGGUGGGUGUGGAUGAGUGGCGAACGGGUGAGUAACACGUGAGUAACCUGCCCUCUUCUUCUGGAUAACCUCAUGAAAGUGGGGCUAAUACGGGGUAUUCCGGGUCUGUCGCAUGGCGGGUUUGGGAAAGAUUGCGCCUUUGGGUGUUUUCGGUGGGGGAUGGGCUCGCGGCCUAUCAGCUUGUUGGUGGGGUGAUGGCCUACCAAGGCGGUGACGGGUAGCCGGCCUGAGAGGGUGGACGGCCACACUGGGACUGAGACACGGCCCAGACUCCUGCGGGAGGCAGCAGUGGGGAAUAGUGCACAAUGGGCGCAAGCCUGAUGCAGCGACGCCGCGUGAGGGAUGGAGGCCUUCGGGUUGUGAACCUCUUUCGCCAGUGAAGCAGGCCUGCUCCUGUGUGGGUGGGUUGACGGUAGCUGGAUAAGAAGCGCCGGCUAACUACGUG
rnacentral:rRNA from 1 species